AGGAGGCAGCAGUGGGGAAUAUUGGUCAAUGGACGCAAGUCUGAACCAGCCAUGCCGCGUGAAGGAUGAAGGUCCUCUGGAUUGUAAACUUCUUUUCUCUGGGGCGAAAAAAGGGAAUUCUUUCCCACUUGACAGUACUAGAGGAAUAAGCACCGGCUAACUCCGUGCCAGCAGCCGCGGUAAUACGGAGGGUGCAAGCGUUAUCCGGAUUCACUGGGUUUAAAGGGUGCGUAGGCGGGCAGGUAAGUCCGUGGUGAAAUCCUAUAGCUUAACUAUAGAACUGCCAUGGAUACUAUUUGUCUUGAAUAUCGUAGAGGUAAGCGGAAUAUGUCAUGUAGCGGUGAAAUGCUUAGAUAUGACAUAGAACACCUAUUGCGAAGGCAGCUUACUAUGCGAUUAUUGACGCUGAGGCACGAAAGCGUGGGUAGCAAACAGGAUUAGAUACCCGCGUAC
rnacentral:rRNA from 1 species